rnacentral:rRNA from 1 species
UACGUAGGGGGCAAGCGUUGUCCGGAUUUAUUGGGCGUAAAGCGCGUGUAGGUGGCCAAGUAGGUCCGCUGUGAAAACUUGAGGCUCAACCUCAAGCUGUCGGUGGAAACCCCUUGGCUAGAGUCCGGAAGAGGAGAGUGGAAUUUACGGUGUAGCAGUGAAAUGCGUAGAGAUCGUAAGGAAGACCAGUGGCGAAGGCGGGUCUCUGGACAGUUCCUGACACUGAGGCACGAAGGCCAGGGGAGCAAACGGGG